rnacentral:lncRNA from 1 species
GAGAGACCUGUGAGGUUGUGGGUGACAAAACGAGCUCUGGACCGACAACUGAAGUUUGGAUCCCAGCUCUGCCACUUACUAGUUGUAUGACCUUGGACAAGGUCACUGGCAUCCCUGCCACCCCAUGUGUCUGAGAAGUACCUACUCCAGUGUCCAGAGAGGCCUCCCAGCUGGCAGCGGAAGUGUGAACCCAGGAUCCCAGUACUCUGCUCUCCAUUUCUCACCUUGUUCAUUGCCUAUCAAGCUGCUGCCCUGAUAGGGUCUGGUCACUGUCGCAUCCACAGGGCUUUCUGCUAUGCUGAUGGCCAUCUAAUCUCCAGGACUCGUGGCUCUACCAGCUUCUGGCUGCCACCUGCGUUCCUUGGCUUGUGCCUCCUUCUACACAUCAAUGUCAUCUUCUUCCUGCGCUGCAAUUGUAUCUCCCUCUGCCUCCCUCAUAUGAGGAAACUAGAGAUUCUACCAUUGGGCCCUCCUAGACCAUCUGGG